AUGAUAUUGUUUGUGUGAUAGAUUAUCGAAUUGAAAUUGAAAUUGGGUUUCAACGCUGCUGGUGGUGGUGGUGGUGGGCCCAUCAAAUGACACACGCGCCAUCAGAGACGCGCUGGUGUUGUCGUCGAAGUCCGCAUUCCUCCAAAAGAGAAAGACUUGGCCAACCCUAACAAAACAUCAUCAAGAUUGCAUCGCCAUUAAUGCCCAUAGCAAAACCUCUCUUCACAAGCUUCUCGAGCUUGUGGAGUUCAAGCUGAAGGAAGUGAUUUCGAGGGAACAUUCUCUACUUAUUUUCAUGAUUGGCGUUCCUAACAUUGCCAAGUCGGUUUUAAUUAAUUCAAUCCAUCAAAUUGCAUCGCCUUGCUUUCCUGGUAAGCUGUACUAUGUUAUGCUAGAUUUUGUUUGAAUGUCAUUGUCUUUAAAUGGAACUAUGGGGAAGUUUAUUAAAUUUUAUUGAACAAUAACUGCUUUUGUUUUCUUUCAUAGUGCAGGAGAAGAUGAAGUGUGCUACUGUCGUCCCACUGCCUGGUUUUCCUUAAGAUAUUGCUGGAUACAAGGUGAAGAGAUUCUGUGUUUUAUGGUUUAUUACCUUAGAAAGUAAAUAGAGACUGAAAUUCUAGUUUCAUGUGUCUUUCACAGAUAUAGUUGAUGUUGUUGCUUUUAUGAGAAGCAGACUGAUUGCAAGGAAUUUAUUUCUCACUUGUGUUAUAUUAUUUGACCACAGAAAAAGUGAUGAUGGCGCUUCAGCCUAGCAUAUGUCCUAGAAACUCCGGGUGUAUUGGUUCCAGGUAUCCCUGACAUAGAGACAGAACUGAAGCUGGCUCUAGCAGUUAUUAUUCUCUUACAAAUAAUUUCUCUUUAGUUUCUUGUGAGAUUUCUUACAGUACACAUGUGAAUGUGCACAAACAUAUACACACAGCUACCUGCACGCUUUUUUAGUUUAAGAUGUGCUAAUCUUGCUUGAAAGAUUAGUGUUGUAAACAUUCAAAAAUGAGUGACUCCACAAUCACGAUUAAGAGAAGUCAGAGACUACUCAACCUGAGCUGAUUUGGUUGCAAUAAAGAAAUUGGAUUCAGCUUCAGUAUAUGUGGUUUUUUUUGGGGGUUGGGGGGAGUUGUUCAAGUCAACAUGAAAUUACUUUUGUCACAUUGUACUCCUUAUUCUAUCUGAUAAAGCUUACCAAAUUCUUAAAUGCACAUGAAGGGUCUGUAAAAGAUUCAGUGGUAGGUGAGGAGCGAAUUGCACAAUACUUGUUGGCAGUUUUAAAUACUCAAGGGACACUCCCCUUCAUAGAAGGGAUUCGAUAUGGUUCUAAGGAAAAACAUGAGUAUAAUCUUAAAGAUCUUUGGCCAAAAAGGAUGAAGCCGCCAAUGACUCUGAUAUGCUUUACAUUGAGUUAAUUUAGGAUUGCUCUCAUUUAAUCAUUUUAUCUAGGAUGACCCAAAGUAUUUUCAAACUUUUUGUUACAUGACAAGUCUGAAAGGAGACAAACUUAACUAUGGGCAUAAGAAAAAUUAUUCUAAGGUCGACAUAGAACUGAAUGAAUUUCGUGAUAAGUCUUAUCGUUGAGUUAUUACACGGGUAUGACACCAAUUUUGUUCUUCUGACUGGAUGGAAAAUAAUCAGAUCAGGAUUUUUGUUGUUGUUGUUGUUGUGACAGUUAAUUUUCUUAUCAUGAAUGAAGAUUAAGUUUUGAUAACAUAUUUUCUGGUCAUGAAUGAUUUAUAGUGAGCUUAAGUUUCGAUAACAUAUUUUACUUGUUGGUUAUGGACA